ensembl:snRNA U2 U2 spliceosomal RNA
AUCGCUUCUCGGCCUUUUGGCUAAGAUCAAGUGUAGUAUCUGUUCAUAUCAGUUUAAUAUCUGAUACGUUCUCUAUUCGAGAACGACGUAUUAAACGAGUUUUUGGAGUUGAGGAGUUGGAAGUAUGGGGCUUGCUCCGUCCGCUCCACGCAUCGGCUUGGUAUUGCAGUGUUUCCAGGUUCGGUGCACAACCC